GACGAACGCUGGCGGCGUGCUUAACACAUGCAAGUCGAACGGAAAGGCCCUGCUUUUGUGGGGUGCUCGAGUGGCGAACGGGUGAGUAACACGUGAGUAACCUGCCCUUGACUUUGGGAUAACUUCAGGAAACUGGGGCUAAUACCGGAUAGGAGCUCCUGCUGCAUGGUGGGGGUUGGAAAGUUUCGGCGGUUGGGGAUGGACUCGCGGCUUAUCAGCUUGUUGGUGGGGUAGUGGCUUACCAAGGCUUUGACGGGUAGCCGGCCUGAGAGGGUGACCGGGGACGGGGGGCCUGCGAGAGGGCGCAGAGGGAUAUGGGCGGGAGGAGGGGGGAGGAUGGCGGAGUGGGGGGGGGUGGGAGCCAGCGGCCGGGCGAGCGGGAGGGUGUGUUUCGAGGGGGAAACAGAUGUGGACGUAAAUGAACGCUGAGUGACGGUACGGGAUAAGGCAGCACCGGCUAACUACGUG
rnacentral:rRNA from 1 species